AAUACAGUUUAUUUCUUAUUAUUACACCUUUCAAGUUGGAUUUAGCCACAUUUCUUUACCAACGGAAACUUCAGACGGAAUUUAUAAUUAACGUUUAUAACACGACACAAAUCCAUCAAGCUCCAAGAUCACUAAUUGCAACUGCAAAAACGUAUUUUAAUUCAUAAUAACAUACUUGCAUUGCUCUCCACCCCAAAGCAAAACCAACUAUAUCUUCAACUGUAUAAGAUAUCGUUUUGAAGAACCAUCAACACAGUAGAUAUGACUAUUUGUGUUGUACAAGCAUCAUAUCGCCCGGGCGCAUUAAGUCUCGAGUCACUCUCAAUCACUCAGUCUGUCCAGACGUCAGUCAUAAGCAAGACGAACGGGGGGACGCCUCCUUCCCCCCCAUCCCCCUGUGGGGGCGAGGGACUGGUCAGCUCUUGAAGACAAUUUACUGAACAAGUCGACUCGACUGGGAUUCCCGUUGAAAUUUAUUUGAUGGAAGUUGCAGUAUGCCGCGUUUUAUGGAGACACACGAAGACGGAUGCAUUCAGAACAAAACACCAACAAACAUAGAUUUUCCCAGAAACUAGACGUCCAAAGAAAGAACAAUUCAUCAACUGAAAAGAAAAACGAACGCAAACCAUAUCUUCAAAGUAAAUCUGCAUCACUGCACUCAAUCACACACAAGAUGUACUGAACCCUCUCCUAUUUAAUUGACGAGCUACUCCAUCAAAACAAUCUUGAAGUCCACAACAUACUUACAAACUACACCCCAGCCAAAGCAAAUUCAACGCUAUUCUUAAAGGAGUAAGAAUUUAAGAAUUCA